rnacentral:rRNA from 1 species
UACGUAGGGUGCAAGCGUUGUCCGGAAUUACUGGGCGUAAAGAGCUCGUAGGUGGUUUGUCGCGUCGUCUGUGAAAUUCCGGGGCUUAACUUCGGGCGUGCAGGCGAUACGGGCAAUACUUGAGUGCUGUAGGGGAGACUGGAAUUCCUGGUGUAGCGGUGGAAUGCGCAGAUAUCAGGAGGAACACCGAUGGCGAAGGCAGGUCUCUGGGCAGUAACUGACGCUGAGGAGCGAAAGCAUGGGUAGCGAACAGGAUUAGA